rnacentral:rRNA from 1 species
UACGAAGGGUCCAAGCGUUGUCCGGAUUUAUUGGGCUUAAAGGGUGCGUAGGCGGUCUAUUAAGUCAGCGGUGAAAUACUCCAGCUUAACUGGAGGGGUGCCAUUGAUACUGAUGGACUUGAGUCAAGUCGAGGUAGGCGGAAUUGACGGUGUAGCGGUGAAAUGCUUAGAUAUCGUCAAGAACACCAAUAGUGAAGACAGCUUACUGGGCUUAAACUGACGCUGAGGCACGAAAGUGUGGGGAUCAAACAGG